CGUAAUAUUGUGGUACCAGCAGCCGAUGGGGGACUCUGACCUUAAACUCAUUGGAUAUAUUUAUUAUGAUAAUCCAACUAUCGAGGAUAAAUUCCAACAGCAUUUCAAUAUAACUGGACAUGGCUCCACGAAAUCUCAACUUCAUGUGCAGAAACUCAGAGAGCCAGAAGACAGCGCCACGUACUUCUGUGCAGCGAGUAAGCACAGUGACUCAAUUUCCCUCUCCCCUUUACAAAAACCCUCUCUGAUAAUCAGCCACAUAAAGUCACGCUGAAGAGGAGCACACCUGCAUCAAACUGCAGCCUGUGGCAGGAAAUCAACACUGAUAUCAACCUUAAAACGGUCUUUUCCUGUGUUUACCAGGAGAACAGGACACUGUACAAAUCCACUGAUGAACACAUGUGACGGUCCGUAAAGCAGACUCCUCCUCCUCGUCCUCUACAUCCAGGCAGCUCUCUUCAGUUUGCAGUCAUUAUUGUUUUCUUUUCAUCUACCUUACAAUCAUGAUCAGACUUCUUAUACAUUUAGCAGCUCUGCCGUUCUGUUUAACAGAAGUCUCAAAAACCAGCGUUCAUCAGACUCCCACUGCCAUGAUUAAAGAUGCUGGAGAAGACAUCCUGAUGAACUGCAACCAUUCAAACACUGAUUUUAAUAUGAUCCAGUGGUACAAACAGUCUGCUGGAGAAUAUGAUAUGGCUUUAAUUGGUUAUGUACAAUUCACUUCUGCGGUUGUUGAAGAUAAAUUCAAAGACUCUUAUGAUGUGAGCGGUCAUGGAUCAAGUCUGGCACAUCUUCAUAUUCCAAAGAGUCGAUCCGAGAACAGCGCAGUGUAUUUCUGUGCAGCCAGUAGAGCACAGUGCUACACAAACCCUCCGUCUUUAACAAAAACCUUCUCUGACGCAGCCAGUUACAGAAAUUACCACUUGAACCACAUCGUGAAUGACUGAUACACAGCUGGUGCACCAUGAGACAGGUUCCUCUCUAAAUGAACUAGUCUACCAGAAUCCAGCCCACACUUUCAACAAACCUGAAGGAGCAGCUAAAAUUGAGUGUUCACACAGUAUUCAAAACUAUGAUACAAUCCUCUGGUACAAGAAAUCAAAGAACAGACAGCUGCAGUUGCUUGGAUACAUGAUGGGAGGCAGUGGAUUUCCAGAAACUGGAGUGAAGGUGAAGAUAGCAGGGAGUGCAAAUAAAGACCAAACCUGCACAUUAAUAAUUGAAGAACUCCAGCUGAACAGCAGUGCAGUGUACUUCUGUGCUGCUAGAUUACACAGUGCUACAUAUCACUGCUCCUUAGUACAAAAACCUCCACAACACAU
rnacentral:lncRNA from 15 species